UGGGGAAUAUUGGGGCAAUGGGGCGAAAGCCUGACCCAGCAACGCCGCGUGAGGGAAGAAGGGUUUCGGCUCGUAAACCUCUGUCCUGUGGGACGAAGGAAGUGACGGUACCAUAGGAGGAAGCCCCGGCUAACUACGUGCCAGCAGCCGCGGUAAUACGUAGGGGGCGAGCGUUAUCCGGAUUUAUUGGGUUUAAAGGGUGCGCAGGCGGCGCGCCAAGUCAGCGGUCAAAGUUCCGGGCUCAACCCGGUGUCGCCGUUGAAACUGGCGUGCUCGAGUGCGUGCGAGGAAGGCGGAAUGCGUUGUGUAGCGGUGAAAUGCAUAGAUAUGACGCAGAACUCCGAUUGCGAAGGCAGCUUUCCAGCGCGAUACUGACGCUGAGGCACGAAAGCGUGGGGAUC
rnacentral:rRNA from 1 species